rnacentral:rRNA from 1 species
GACAGAGGAUGCAAGCGUUAUCCGGAAUGAUUGGGCGUAAAGCGUCUGUAGGUGGCUUAAAAAGUCUUCUGUUAAAGAUCAGGGCUUAACCCUGAGCCGGCAGGAGAAACUCUUAGGCUAGAGUUUGGUAGGGGCAGAGGGAAUUCCCGGUGGAGCGGUGAAAUGCGUAGAGAUCGGGAGGAACACCGAAGGCGAAAGCACUCUGCUGGGCCAAUGAAAAGUUUUUUCAAUAACUGACACUGAGAGACGAAAGCGAGGGGAGCAAAAGGG